rnacentral:misc_RNA from 1 species
GCGCAAGCCUCCCUUCCAUCUGCCACCCCAGAUUUCAUAAAGGCCAAAGCGCAGGGUGGUGUCGUCGGCUGAGAUUGGAAUGUUGAUCUCGAAAUUGCUGGGGAAGUCGAUAGGCGUCAGCCCGAUGUCCCUGGUAUUGAUAUAAAGCCUCUUCCAAGUGUAGGAUCCUGAGUCUCCAACCUUAGCCAUCAGGAACACUGGACUGCUAUCCCACCCAAACGCAUCAGAAUUUAGGCUUAUAUUGAACCCAAUCCUAUAUUUGC